GGUGUUUAUGCUUUGGCCUCCUUGCUGUAUCCUGUAGGCUGGCAGAAAUCAGGCCAACUGAGUAAUUGCUAUAAUGCAUUCCCUUUUCAUAAUAUCUGCACUGAAUCUUUGUUGCUUUGCACUUCAGUUUGCAUUCCAGCAUUCUUUCAUGCCAAGCCUGGUGAUUACUUUAAGUCCCUGAGCUACAGGCAUAAUUAUCUUUCAAGAAGUCAUUGGGGACUCCUGAGAGGAAGGAGGAAGAUGGAGAGAAGAAUGCUAGAGGAAGGAUUAAGCAACCAGCAUAAUAUACAACCUACAAAAAUGAAGACGAUGAAAAACAUUUCACUUUCAAAUUUUUUUUUUUAAAUGAUCUCCAGCUACUUACCUUGCCACUCAAAUGUUUGAAGAUAGAAAAUUCUGCAUUGGUUUGCUUGUGAUACCAUGUUUUGGCCCCUUGGAACAUAGACACUAUCCCAAUGCUCCUUCAAAUGGCAGGGUAGACUCUUCACUGAAUCAGUGUCAAUCCCUGGAAAUUUGCUGCAAACCUUCACAUAGCACUGUGCUCUGUCAGCUCUGGCUGUUGGUAGCCACGUUUGUCAGCAGGAAGGAAGAACCUACCCAAGAACAAAGUCAACACAGAAAUGAAAAGGAAAUAUAGAUUCCUCUCGGUGUCCACUGAGAACAUGCAUCUAGCUAUUUCUGGAUCUACAAUAGAAUUUCAGCCAGCCUGACUUUCGUGUCUGUCAUAAGCCAUCAAAGAUGGAUGAGUGUGGUGGACUCGGGGAUCUACUGCCCGCCUUCAGGGUGUGUGGACAGUAGGCAGUCUCCAGUGACAGUUCGUUCAUGGUCGGCUUCAGCAUCAAGGAACCCACUUUCCUGAGGUCAUGCCCUGCCCAGAGCAACCAAAAUUGGAUGAUUACACAGAGUGAAAGUGGAGGGGCUUAGCAAGAAUGGGGCAUUUUGGACAGUUAGUACUCACUCCAGAGCUCCUUGCAGAGUUGGAGACAUGGCUAUUAUGCCUCCUUCACAGUUUAGCUUUCCCCGCAUGCAGCCCUGUCCCCUCCUCUUCCCUUACAGAUGUUAAUCUUGAACCCACAUCUUGCACUCCACGCUCUCAGUGUCUGUCUCCAGAAAACCCACCCUGACAUAAUAAUAAACAGAUGUCCAUUAAAUACAAAGUCUAUGUAGCAAAAAGCAGGAUAAACUUUCAGAUUAAAAAUCAGCAUGUAGAUUUAUAGUUAUGAAUGAGGGGAGGAUGGGAACAAAAAGGCAAUACGGACAAUUAAAGAUAGCUGCGUCAGGCUGCAGGGUAAUUUUCUAAAGUUAUAUUGUUGUUUAUAUGCUAAAGAACCCUUCUAAAACACGCCUUCCUGAAGGUUUCCAUAAUACCUAAGCAAUAAAGAUAUUCCAAGGAAUGGAUAAACUUAUAUUUCUUCUAUUCAAAAAUUAAUAGAAUCUAAUCUGAAAUUUAGACAUUGGAAAUACAAUGGAAUUAUUUGCUGAAUAAAUUGAUCAUUUAUUUUCUGGACUUUGAUAUGUAAAUGUUCAAAUUAGUAUAAGUUAAAUGUAGUGAUGAAAGGCGAGGAUAAACUUUAAAUAAGCUUUAUAAUGGUGGAUACAACAAAGAACUUCAGUAAAAAAGAAAACAAAUGGUAAGAGGAAAAUUGGGGCAAGAUAUUGGCUCAACGAAUUCUACAACACAUUGAUGAAUUUUAUUAAAGUUUUAAAAAUGAGUUUCAUAAUAAGCUAGUCCAGAUUCUAC
ensembl:lncRNA